rnacentral:rRNA from 1 species
CCUACGGGGGGCAGCAGUGAGGAAUAUUGGUCAAUGGACGAGAGUCUGAACCAGCCAAGUCGCGUGAAGGAGGACUGCACUGUGGGUUGUAAACUUCUUUUAUAUGGGAAUAAAAUGUUCCACGCGUGCGCGUUUGUGUGUACCAUAUGAAUAAGGAUCGGCUAACUCCGUGCCAGCAGCCGCGGUAAUACGGAGGAUACGAGCGUUAUCCGGAUUUAUUGGGUUUAAAGGGAGCGUAGGUGGAUUGUUAAGUCAGUUGUGAAAGUUCGCGGCUCAACCGUAAAAUUGCAGUUGAAACUGGCAGUCUUGAGUACAGUAGAGGUGGGCGGAAUGCGGGGUGUAGCGGUGAAAUGCUUAGAUAUCACGAAGAACUCCGAUUGCGAAGGCAGCUCACUGGACUGCAACUGACACUGAGGCUCGAAAGUGUGGGUAUCAAACAGGAUUAGAUACCCGGGUAGUC